CAUCCUCCAAGGCUAAAUACUCCUGACUGACCGAUAGUGAACCAGUACCGUGAGGGAAAGGCGAAAAGAACCCCGGCGAGGGGAGUGAAAAAGAACCUGAAACCGUGUACGUACAAGCAGUGGGAGCACAGGUUUACCUGUGUGACUGCGUACCUUUUGUAUAAUGGGUCAGCGACUUAUAUUCUGUAGCAAGGUUAACCGUUCAGAGUCAAGCGU
rnacentral:rRNA from 1 species